rnacentral:rRNA from 1 species
GACGAACGCUGGCGGCGUGCUUAACACAUGCAAGUCGAACGGAAAGGCCCCUUUGGGGGUACUCGAGUGGCGAACGGGUGAGUAACACGUGAGUAACCUGCCCUUGACUUCGGGAUAACUUCAGGAAACUGGGGCUAAUACCGGAUAGGAAUCCUUGCUGCAUGGUGGGGGUUGGAAAGCUUCGGCGGUUUUGGAUGGACUCGCGGCUUAUCAGCUUGUUGGUGGGGUAGUGGCUUACCAAGGCUUUGACGGGUAGCCGGCCUGAGAGGGCGACCGGCCACAUUGGGACUGAGAUGCGGCCCAGACUCCUACGGGAGGCAGCAGUGGGGAAUAUUGCACAAUGGGCGGAAGCCUGAUGCAGCAACGCCGCGUGCGGGAGGACGGCCUUCGGGUUGUAAACCGCUUUCAGCAGGGGCGAAGCUUGUGGUGACGGUACCUGCAGAAGAAGCACCGGCUAACUACGUG